AUUCGACCUCAAAUCAGGUAGGACUACCCGCUGAACUUAAGCAUAUCAAUAAGCGGGAGG
rnacentral:rRNA from 1 species